rnacentral:rRNA from 1 species
AUUGAACGCUGGCGGCAGGCCUAACACAUGCAAGUCGAGCGAGCGGCGGACGGGUGAGUAACGUAUGGGGACUGCCCGAUAGAGGGGGAUAACUACUGGAAACGGUGGCUAAUACUGCAUACUAUCGGAUAACCCAUAUGGGAUUAGCUAGUAGGUGGGGUAAAGGCUCACCUAGGCGACGAUCACUAGCUGGUCCGAGAGGAUGAUCAUCCAGGUGGGGACUGAGACACGGCCCAGACUGCUCCGGAGACGGCAUUGGGGAAUGUUGGGCAAUGGGCGCAAGCCUGAUGCAGCCAUGCCGCGUGAAUGAAGAAGGCCAUAGGAUUGUAAAGUUCUUUCAGCGGGAAAGCGUUACCCGCAGGAGAAGCACCGGAUAACUCCGUGCCAGCAGACGCGGUAAUGC